rnacentral:lncRNA from 1 species
ACGUACAUAAGUGUGAAAACUUCAUCACAAAUUAUUCUGACAAUUAAUUAAUGUGUAAUUUCUACUUUUUAAAGCACGUGACUUAUCACCGGACGAUCCAUUUAAGCACGUGGCAAUGAUAAAGCAUUUGGGUUAACCCUAAAAAAAAAAAAAAAAAGACAACAGUGUCAGUGAGAACGAUGAUUAACGCGGUAAUGUGUGAAACCAAUACAAAUUACUAUUCAAGUUAUCUCUAAUUUUGUUUUCUA